UACAUGUGGGGCAAGCGUUGUUCGGAAUUACUGGGCAUAAAGGGUGCGUAGGCGGCUUGUUAAGUCAGGGGUGAAAUCCCACGGCCCAACCGUGGAACUGCCUUUGAUACUGGCGAGCUUGAGUGCGUGAGGGGUAACCGGAACGAGUAGUGUAGCGGUGAAAUGCGUAGAUAUUACUCGGAAGGCCAAAGGCGAAGGCAGGUUACUGGUACGCAACUGACGCUGAGGCACGAAAGCGUGGGGAGCGAACAGG
rnacentral:rRNA from 1 species